AUUGAACGCUGGCGGCAUGCCUUACACAUGCAAGUCGAACGGUAACAGGUCUUCGGAUGCUGACGAGUGGCGAACGGGUGAGUAAUACAUCGGAACGUGCCCGAUCGUGGGGGAUAACGGAGCGAAAGCUUUGCUAAUACCGCAUACGAUCUACGGAUGAAAGCAGGGGACCGCAAGGCCUUGCGCGGACGGAGCGGCCGAUGGCAGAUUAGGUAGUUGGGGGGAUAAAAGCUUACCAAGCCGACGAUCUGUAGCGGGUCUGAGAGGACGACCAGACACACUGGGACUGAGACACGGCCCAGACUCCUACGGGAGGCAGCAGUGGGGAAUUUUGGACAAUGGGCGAAAGCCUGAUCCAGCCAUGCCGCGUGCAGGAUGAAGGCCUUCGGGUUGCAAACUGCUUUUGUACGGAACGAAAAGCCUCUUUCUAAUAAAGAGAGGUCAUGACGGUACCGUAAGAAUAAGCACCGGCUAACUACGUGCCAGCCGCCGCCGUAAGAC
rnacentral:rRNA from 1 species